UACGUAGGGUGCGAGCGUUAAUCGGAAUUACUGGGCGUAAAGCGUGCGCAGGCGGUGAUGUAAGACAGAUGUGAAAUCCCCGGGCUCAACUUGGGAACUGCAUUUGUGACUGCAUCGCUGGAGUGCGGCAGAGGGGGAUGGAAUUCCGCGUGUAGCAGUGAAAUGCGUAGAUAUGCGGAGGAACACCGAUGGCGAAGGCAAUCCCCUGGGCCUGCACUGACGCUCAUGCACGAAAGCGUGGGGAGCAAACAGG
rnacentral:rRNA from 1 species